UACGUAGGGUGCAAGCGUUAUCCGGAAUUACUGGGCGUAAAGGGUGCGUAGGCGGUUGUUUAAGUCUGUCGUGAAAUCCCCGGGCUCAACCUGGGAAUGGCGAUGGAUACUGGGCAGCUAGAGUGUGUCAGAGGAUGGUGGAAUUCCCGGUGUAGCGGUGAAAUUCGUAGAUAUCAAGCAGAACACCUGCGGCGAAGGCGGCCUUCUGGACGAUGACUGACGCUGAGACACGAAAGCGUGGGGAGCAAACAGG
rnacentral:rRNA from 1 species